AGGUGAGCGCCAAUACGCGCACGUACGCGGAAAGGGGAACCGCCCAUGCGCACAUAAAGGUCCUCACUCUCGCAUACGGGCUCGGCCGGCUGCUGAGAGGCAGCGCCGGCAUCCGCGUUGCGGCAAGCCUCCUGCUGUGCUGAUUGCCGGCGCGCCUGGAGCGCUGGCGGCGGCGGCGGCGUACAUUUGAUGGUGCCGCCCCCCUCCCCCUUCCUCCCUCCCCUUCCCGGGCAGCGCCGUCACCGGGCCUACGGCACGGCGCGGUUGCCGAGGUGAUGGGCAAUGCGACCUGGCCGCUGGUGGUGGGCACUGACGGAGGGGAGCUCUGUGUGGCACCUGAGCGCAUUGUGUUGCGGGGGCCGCCGAGGAAGCUGCACCACACCGCGAGGCUGCUGGAGCGUGCGAGCUGGCUGCGCUGCUGCGCGCACGGCCCGCGCGCCGUGGAGGCCGUGGCGCUUAUCCCGAUUAGCCGGUGCUGGCGCGGGGGUGGGCGUGAACCACGGACCGCCACCGAGACCCCUCCAAGGCCGCCCGGUGGUGUGAGGGCGUGUGUGUGUGCUCGCGACGGCCGCCCUCGCCGGUGGCUGUGGCGGGUGCAAGAGUGCGCUGUGCCGCAGCGCGGUGCGCGUGGAGGGCGGGCCGCUCGCGCACGUCGGCGUCCGCGGCGCGGAGGGCAGGCUGCGCUGCGUCGUCGAGGCGCUCUGCGUGAAGCGGGGGCGCGAGGUGUGCGGCGACGCUGUGGCGCUGGCGUGUGCGACCGUCGUCUGUGCCAUCUCACCGUGGAGGGGUGCCCAUCGCGUCGCUCAGCAUGGCCGCCGCUGGGGUGCGGCGCCUCGGCCUGCGCAUGAUUGCCGUGCGCCGCCGCGAGCGGGCGUUCGCGUAGACGCAGCACGCCGUGGGCGAGUUGUUUGCCGCGGUGCAUGAAUGCCGCCUCUCGGCGGGAAGGCGCACGGAUGAGAAGCUGCUGAGGUCGGUGCGGCGCUGGGGGCGCACUGCGUUGCACGAUCCCGCACAGGACGUGUGCGUGUUCCACCACAAGCUUUUCCACUCCGCCUCCCGGUGCUGCUGGCCGCAGGCGCGCGGUGAGAUGAGGAGGUGAUGGGGAAGGGCGGGUGGUGGCUCUGCGCGAGCGCGUGGGUGUCGGGUGGAUGGGAGUGUGCACUGAUGUAGGUGCACCCUCGCGUGCUGCGACUGGCACCGCCGCCCUCCUCGCCCCAUGGGGGGCGCACACGGGGUCGCUGCUGCUCGCAUCCCCUGCUCUUUGGUGAUGUUCCUUUUUUUUCUUGUGGUGCAGGGCCGCGGCGGUGCGGGGAUGGGCGGUGCUGCAUCCCGCCCGCACAGACACCGAGGCCGCCCCCCGCACCUCCCCCCUGCACACACGUGCCCAUCGGCCUCGCGCAAGCGCUCCUAGGACAACGCCGACCAGAGAAAAACGCAGCAAGCGGCUCCAGGCGGUAGGCUGUGCGACUGCGGGUCUUUGCGCUCUCUUCCCCUCGUCCUCGCUGUGCGCGGCGCGAGGGGUGUGGCGAGGACAUGCGGUGAGGGGCGCGGGAGGGGCUGCCCGGAGGGUGGCAAGCAGUGCCCUCUGUUCUCUCCGCUUGGUCGCCGCCUCGUGCGCUUCUGUCUCCCCUUCGCUGCCGUGGCGGUGCGUCGCACCCCCACCGGCCUGCUGUCCUGACCCUUUUCGCUUGUGCGCAUGCCAUCAAGUGGCCCAUCUGCUCCCGCUGUGCACGCCUCGCAGUCUCACUUGCAUGUCUCCUCACCACUGCCUCCGCCCAAUCACUCCCUCUCUCCUCGCCUCCUUUCACUCUUUGCUCGCGUCGCCCAUCCGUCU
rnacentral:misc_RNA from 1 species